GCGCACCAGUCGAGAAUACUUUACAAUGCGCGAAAGCGCGAUAGGGGAACCCCAAGUGUUCUUUCCUUCUUGGAAAGAACUUUUAUCGUAUUUUUAAAUGAUACGAAGAAUAAGGGCUGGGCAAAUAGGUGCCAGCAGCCGCGGUAAUACCUAUGGCCCGAGUAGUGACCAUUUUUAUUGAGUCUAAAGCGUUCGUAGCUGGCUUGGGAAGUCCGUAUUUAAAUCAUCCAGCUUAACUGGAUGACAUGGUACAGAUACUCCCGAGCUAGAGGUCGGAAGAGGGGUUGGGAACUUUUUGGGUAGGAGUAAAAUCCUUUAAUCCAAAAAAGACCACCAGUAGCGAAGGCGCAACCCCAGGACGAACCUGACGGUGAGGGACGAAGGCUAGGAGAACAAACCGGAUUAGAUACCCGCGUAGUCC
rnacentral:rRNA from 1 species